rnacentral:tRNA from 1 species
GGGCCGGUAGCUCAACCUGGUAGAGCACCUGGCUUUUAACCAGGUGGUUGCGGGUUCAAAUCCCGUCCGGCCCG